rnacentral:ncRNA from 2 species
AGGGUGGGCGGAGCACGAGGUGCCCCGAUCGGCCAGUCCGGGAGGGGAGAAUCUGGGAAGCCGGUGGGAGUCCGGCACAGGCCCGCUGCGGUGAUCGACGAAAGUCGUCAGUCCGAAGACCGGCCUCGCGCAUUUCCUGUCC